rnacentral:rRNA from 1 species
GACGAACGCUGGCGGCGUGCCUAACACAUGCAAGUCGAGCGGGAACCUGAGGAGGGGUAACCCUCUUCAGGGGAGAGCGGCGAACGGGUGAGUAACACGUGGGCAACCUGCCCCGGACACCGGGAUAACCCAGGGAAACCUGAGCUAAUACCGGAUACUCCGGUUGGAUCGCAUGGUCCGACCGGGAAAGCUCCGACGGUCCGGGAUGGGCCCGCGGCCUAUCAGCUUGUUGGUGGGGUAACGGCCUACCAAGGCUUCGACGGGUAGCUGGUCGGAGAGGACGGCCAGCCACACUGGGACUGAGACACGGCCCAGACUCCUACGGGAGGCAGCAGUGGGGAAUAUUGCGCUAAUGCGCGAAAGCGUGACGCAGCAACGCCGCGUGGGGGAUGAAAGCCCUCGGGUUGUAAACCCCCUUCGGCAGGGACGAAGCGAAAGUGACGGUACCUGCAGAAGAAGUCCCGGCUAACUACGUGCCAGCAGCCGCCGCGGUAA